UACGUAGGGGGCAAACGUUGUCCGGAUUUACUGGGUGUAAAGGGUGCUCAGGCGGUUUUGUAAGUCAGAAGUGAAAUCCUAGAGCUUAACUCUGGAACUGCUUUUGAUACUGCAAGGCUUGAAUGUGGAAGAGGAGGAUGGAAUUUCUGGUGUAGCAGUGAAAUGCGUAGAUAUCAGAAAGAACACCAGUGGCGAAGGCGGUCCUCUGGUCCACUAUUGACGCUAAAGCACGAAAGCGUGGGGAGCAAACAGGAUUAGAUACCCUGGUAGUCCACGCCUUAAACGAUGAAUACUAGACGUUGGGGUUAAACUCAGUGUCGCAGCUAACGCAUUAAGUAUUCCACCUGGGGAGUACGAUCGCAAGGUUGAA
rnacentral:rRNA from 1 species